CGCGCGCGAGUCGGUUGUCCCCACCUGCCUGCUGGUGGGCCUCCGUUUUCCCGUUUUGCACAUGGGAAUGACGGCGAAGGUGGAGGUCACGCGGAGGGCGGCGGCCCGGCGCUGAGGCGCUUCGGGAGCGGGCUCCGCCCAGCCCAGGCCGAGCCCGGACCUUACACGGGCUAAAGCUGGAGCUUCUGCGGGGCUGCGCAGGCGGGUCUCGGCCAGGGCACGGCCGGGCACCUGCGCGUCUCGGGCUGCAGGGACGGGCGUCGGGUCCCAGGUCAGGCUGCACGGGUUCCGCGUGGGGCCGUGCUCGGCCGGGGGCUAGCAGGCCCCGCGGGGACUCCGGACGCCCAGUGUCACCAACGAGGACACUGAGUCUCAAGUCAUCUGAGGGACCUUUGCCCGAGGUCGCAGCCCCUCCCUGGAGGAGCUGAAGCGCAGAGUGGGGACCCCCUUGCGGAGACCCUCCUGGGACCUCCUUCCGCAGGGGCCUGGGGCGCCUCCCUCCUCUCCCUGCUCUGCCUGCGGGCACUGAGCUCCCGAACGACUCCAGCCCCUCGCUCUCCCUGUGACCUACUGGAGAAGAGACCUGGGAGAAACCUGGGGACCAUGGGUGUGUGUCCUUGGGCCUCCAGGGUCACCUUUCAGCCUGUUUCCCCGCAGGUGAACCAAGAGUCACACCCAAGGCAGAAGAGCAAGAGUGAUGAGUCCGCUGCACCUUCGGCUAGGGAGGUUUCCCCGCCGCCCUCACUCUGUGAUGCUUGCUGUCCUUGCGAGGCCCACGCCAAAGACCUACGGGCAGCCCUGGGCUCCCGCGAAGGGCCUUGCUGAGCUCCUGGGAAGGAGGUGUGCCCUCCCCAUCCCCUACCGCCCCACUGGCUGGGGUUCUCUGCAGCCCAGGACUGUGCAUGUGUGCGCACACGGGUUCUGUGCACAUGAACACAAAAGUGUGCUCGUGGACACUGUGUGGUACUGUGUGUGCACAGCGCACGUCUGUGAGCUAAGGGAGUGUUCCUGGACACCAGGUGCAAGUGCACAAGUGUGUGUAUGCACAAGUGUGUGCCCAGGCGCGAGCAUGGGAAUGGUAGUAUAUGGCACAAAUGUGUGUGCACCCAUGGGUGGGAGGGAAGAGGGGCACAUGUCCACCAGCGUUCCUGUGCUCAGGCCGGCCUGUCCUGGGCCCACCCAGGCUCCUUGCCCUGGUGUAUUUGAGACUCCCCUGGCUCCCAGGAGGCAGUAGUGUGUGCCUGUCUUGCAGCCUAGCUGGGAUUUGAACAGGGCUUCAGCCUUCUGCUAAGACAGCUGGAGUGCAGGGAAGCCGGCUCCUAUCCAGGGAGGUUGCCCAUGACUGCUGACCCCCCAGCUUCCACUUGAAGGGGAAGGUUCGCCAGGAGCAAUGCCUGUCUGAGAGCUGGCAGUCCAGACUGAGGAUGCUGGGUGCCUGGCACAGUGCCCACCUCCCCCUCCGUGGCUGGCGCUGUCUCUGUGGCCGCCACCUCACUCAGCCUCCUCUGACAGCUCCGUGUUCAGGUGUGGAAAGGAGGGGAAAGUGAAGCCCCUUCCUCCCAGGGCAGACGACCUCCAGGAGCCGCUUUCUUGACCAUACAAGGCGUAUAUGGGGAUGUUUCUGUGCCUGGAGAGUGCAGGGGGAAAGGUCUAGGGUGGGUACGAACCACCAGAGGAGGGGCUCCAUACCUGUCGGUUCCUCCGAAAUCUGGGGUGAGCCCACCUUAGUGCCCCACAGCAAGUCAGGGAAGGUAAACCUCUCCGUGGAAGAGCCAGGAGCCCACUCCCUCAGGCUGAGCCAAUGGGGAGCGGGAGGAGGAUGCUAAGGGGUCCUCAGGAAGGGAUGAGGGAAAUAGCCAAUAGCUGCCUGGGCCUAGGGCCGGGGCUCCCCUCCCUUCCCUCAUCUCUGCCCCUCCCUGGAAGAGGUCAUCGCAUGAUCUCGGGUAGCUCUGGGCUCUCUCCUUCCUCCGGAGAAGCAGGACUCUGGGGGAAGAGCUCUGGUCCCACCCCUUGGCCAACCAGCGAGACCAACAGGGUGAAUAAGUGGGACUGGCCCCAGCACGCCGAGUUCUGUUACCUAAGGGGGCGGGGGUUGCCUGGUCCUCAGCUGGCACCCCCCAAAUUGGAUCUACCAUUCCAGGUCCCAGAGGGAAUGUGGGCAACAAGAUUGGGGGGUGGUUCCAAGGCCUUUGGAAGGAACGUUGAGGCAACACCCACUGAAGCCGACCCCAGAAACGCUCCCUCUCUGAAUAGUAACAUGGACUUUUCAGGGUUUAAGCUGAAUUUCCAGCCCCUGCCUGGACAGGAGAAGGCCUUUGCACCUCCUGCUCUGCUCCCAGCACAGCUUCUGCUCCAGCAAAGCCCACAGGCACUCAGUCCUUGAUUCCUGCACCCACCAACCCCGCCAAGCCGCCCUCACUGUUACCCAGGCGUCCUUUGUCCGUUAGCAACAGAACCCCAGUUUUGUUCAAGGCAUCAAUGUACCCAGCCUCACCAGCAGCUAGGGCCAGCUGUGACACUCUUUGCCCAGGGGAUGACUGCAGGAGGCACAGUCGAGCCUCCCGGUCCUUUGGAAGGGGCAGCUGUGGCCACCCACCUCACUGACAGUCUUCCUUUCUCCUGGCUCCAGCCUGAAGUGUGGGCACGGCAUCCCGAGGACAGCAGCCGUGUGGCCAGCAAGGGGCAGGGUCCCAAGCUGAGGAUGGGAGCAGCUGCCUUGAUGCCCCAGUGGCCACCAUCAGACUCAUCACCAUCGGGAGAACAAGCCCCUGCUCCCUUUAUGGGGCUACCUCAUUGGAUUUCAUUAGGUUUUCUGUAACUCAAGCCAGUGCCACUUCUAUUGUAGCUGCUUUGGGCUCCUACGCUCACGGGGGUGGGACAUGGUUCUAUUAGCUGCGUCCUGCCCCUCAACAAUGAUGGCUCCUUGCGGGCAGGCCCCAAGGGCAUAUCGUGGCCCCACACACAGCGAGUGCCCCACACCUGGAGCAGCCUGGAGGAGCUUGUGAGGAGCAAGGGCGCGGGAGCCACUCCCACGUGCCUAUUUUCCACAUGUCCCCAUGCAGCCCAGGCUUCCAACCACAUCUUAAAAAAUAAAAAGAUGGGGAGGAGAAGAAACUUUGGUCCUAACACCAAACCAAGCCCUGUCUUGCUGUGUGAUGUUCAGCCUGAGGCACACCUUCUCUGGGCUUGUUCCGCAAAGCCGCAAUGCAGGGGCAGAGCAGUCAUGAGGCCUGCCCAGGAGUGAGGGUGGUAAAGGGCUGGGCAGAACCAAGGGCAUGGGGUGUGUGGGAGGGUGGCGGUCCAUUCCCUUGUCACCCACGCAGAGGCAGUGUCAUGAGGGUACACGUGGGAGUCUCUGGGAAGUGUCUGACACAGCCCCAGCACAGGACGGGGUCUGACCAUUCAAGACUCAAUCUGCGUCAUCAGAGACCAGGCUCUUAGAAACCAACGCCAGCCCGAUGUGCAUAACAGCCUCCCAAGGUGUUUAACACGGAGCAGGAGUGACAAAAAGAAAAAUGAAGUAAAAGAAUAGAAAAUCCAUCAA